UACGAAGGGGGCUAGCGUUGCUCGGAAUCACUGGGCGUAAAGGGUGCGUAGGCGGGUCUUUAAGUCAGGGGUGAAAUCCUGGAGCUCAACUCCAGAACUGCCUUUGAUACUGAAGAUCUUGAGUUCGGGAGAGGUGAGUGGAACUGCGAGUGUAGAGGUGAAAUUCGUAGAUAUCCGGAAGAACACCGAUGGCGAAGGCAACCACCUGGGCCUGUACUGACGCUGAGGUACGAAAGCGUGGGGAGCAAACAGG
rnacentral:rRNA from 1 species